GGUCAUGUGGCCUAGUGGUCAUGGCAUCUGCCCGGUAAGCGGAAGGUCGUGGGUUCGAUUCCCAUCCCUUGGAACU